UGAUGCCCCCCUGCGGAGCCACCACGUUCGUUUGGAUUCGUGGCCAUCCGAUGGCGCAUCCAGCGAAUCUCAACCGUCCACGCGUUUUAAUCAGAGUGGUAUAAAAAGUUCAACUCAUGGUGAGAACCCUAACCGCACCCGCGCCUGCCCCUCCGUUCCUCAUCCUCGCGGGAGGCGGCGGCUGCACCUCCACGUCGUUCCUCCUCCUCCUCUUCGCUGCACCUCCGCCUCCCACCUCUCCCCUCUCGUUUCUCCCCCUCCUUCGUCUCUCUCUGAUGGCCCCUUGUCGACCUGCGCGCGAGCGUCGUGUCUGCACGAGCAGGGCGCCGUUCUUGGGCGCGGGAACCGCGUAAGGCGCGAGCUGGGCGUCGUGCUUGGACGCACGACCCCUCUGCCCCGCCCACCGCCGCCACAAGUUGCCGGGAGGAGCCCUCCAGAGACCCGUUGCCACGCCGACCUUCAGGCUGCGUCGAGUGACGAGUCCCCACGUCGGGGCACUGCGUCUCCUCAACGCUCUCGACCUCUACGUCGACCUCCAGACCUCCAACCUUUUUGGAUUUGAUGGUAUGUUCUGGGCUAGGCCGUUCUCAAAAUUCCAAGUAGUAAGGAGAUGGAGAAGCAGCACUACAAAGAUCCCAGGUUUCUCCCUCACUCUCUCACAAUCUCACUGCCACUGCCAGGGCUCAGGUCCCCACUCGCGCAUUUUCUCUUGUGAGAAAUAGCUCUUGCAAAUGCAGGUCAAGAUAAGAUACAAGGGAAAAGUUCAGGUACACAUCUUCGAAGAGUUUCCAUCCACAAUCUGCAUUAGUCCAAAGCCCAGGUUAAGUUUCUGUUGUCCUUUUGUUUGCUCAUAUGCAAUACAGGAUUCAGAAUAGCACUCCACCAGCCUAUAUGAAUUGGCACGCUAGGACUUGGGAAAACUAUAAUAGUGCAAAGAUUCGAGGAUCGCCAUUAUUUUUCAAUGCUUACAUUACUAUUGUACCUCCACUUUUCUUGCAUAUCGGGAUGCUAUAUUUCAAUGGGUUGUGGGAACUUGAGUGCCGUGAAAGGUUUGCCUUUUGACAUAAAAGAACAACCAUAAGAGAAUCUGGAAGAAAUAUCUAAUUAUAAAAGAUCUGCUGGCUAUGCAGUUGGUGAUAACAUGUUGCAAAAAUGAUCAUAGUAUGAUGACAUUGAAAUAUAAAAAUACUCUACUUUAGAGUGUGGCCCAAUGAAGCUAUUAUAUGCAUUUUAUUAUUGUAAGCAUUCACUACUGAAUUUAUUUUGGUAGUAGUGAAAGGUCUCAUUGAAUUUAUGGAUUUUUCUCAUCGUGAGAGUAACUAGAAGAGGAAUAGUUUUUCAGUUAAUCAUUGUUUACUAACCAACCGAGUAACACUGCAGCUAUGCGUAUGCGCUUUUAGUAAAUAUUCUCUACUGUAGAUAUUAGAGGCUCUUUUAUAUCCACAGUUUGAGGUUCUUUAAGGAUAAAUUCUAAUUAUCAGGUGUCUGGUAUCAUUGUAUUCGGCAAAACAUGAUAUUGCUGUUCAAAGCUUGCAGAACAUAUGUACUGCAAUUAAGUGCAUUUAUCCGUGAAAUUGAGAAAGUCAUCUCUGGUGCUUUCUCGGCUCUGUGAUUCAUGCCAGAUAUACAUAUAAUCAUAUUUAGUUUGACGGUGAGUACGCGCUUUAGGUUAGUCAAAGGACGUGAAUAUUUUAUAUUAAGACAGUUCUAAUAAAAUUUGUUUAUGAUAAUAUUUUCUUGAUCUAUGAAAUUUCAUCUAUGCUCAAAUGUUUGGUCUUUGUUCUGUUUUAGGUAUUUGAAAUCUAGCCAAUUAACCGUUGAGUUCAUAAUAAUUGGAAAGCAGUCGAAUGCUUCGGGUUGACUUUUGCAUUGUCAGAACAUGGCUUAAAACUCUGCUCUGCUGAUUGGUUGUAAUUUUUUACCUUCAUUCAGUAAUUUCCUACAAAUUUGAAAGAUCGUUUAAAGGAGCCACAACGUUAUCUACCUGCGUGCUCCUUACCAGUGGUACCCCUUGAAGUAAGACUGGGUUGUCAUGUGUUUCUUCCUUAAGAUUCAGAAUACUGGGAUGUGAUGUACCUCUUAUGUCAGUUAGAUCUUGCCUAGGAUCCUGCUGAUGGCGGAAGUGUUUGCCUCCCUACAUGUUUGGAGUAUGAUAUGUAGAUGCUUUUGUAUAUCUGUGUUGAUGAUUGUUUUCUAGAGCAGAUUUUUGCGACUUCAUUCUACUUCUAUAUCUCUGUCUUUGCAUAAUAAAUGCAAGUAUUUAUGAACCAAUUUUUUGUGCUGCUUCGCAUGCGGGUGAUAUGUUUACACUUUUUCUUGGAUUUGAGAUUCUAUCCCAGCCUUGGUAAGCUUUAGGCUUUGAUGUAAGUUUAUAGUAUUAAAUUGGCGGUUAACUUUCUCUUAUGCUGAGUGGCUAAAUGUGCUUAGGUUAGAACUCAAAUUGCUCUUAUAUUCAGAUUAUUAUCCGUGGGUGAAAUUAUUAGUGGGGAUUUCCUAUUGAAAUAUUAUAUUUUCAUGGUUAUUACUACAGAUAUCAAACUGAAUCAGCUUCACUUUAGGUUAAUAUUGAGACUGCUGCUACAUUUCCUUUUUGGUCAUGUUUCCUCUCUUUAUAGUUAGCUUUUGCUACCUGCCGCUUGUGUUCUGUCUGCACAUACAUUUCUCUUGGUCUAGGUGAUAUUUGUUGUUGGUGAUACAAGCCCACUCGGUUUUGGGCUGCUUUCUAUUUUUGGGGUUUUCCUCAGAUCAGUUCUUCUUCGUUUUAUAAUUUCUUUGCUGAUGGAUUUCCUUUUAGUCCUCUUCCUUUUUUUCCCUCAUUUUGAUCAUCAUAUUCUUGAUUUUGAGUGCUUCUUCUUCAUUUUAUUUCUCCUCUUUUAUCUUUUGUUUAGAGUUCUUUGCUUGUGGUUCUGUUCAUCUUUUCUUCUCUCUUUGCUUCAUCUUUUCUACCACUUUGUUCUUUUUGUUCGUUUCUGGCGGCUCGGCUCUUGUGAUGCUGCUCUAUCCUCGCUUGCAUCGCCGAUUACUUGCUUUUCUAUUCUUCUAUUUUUUUUUUCUAGGUACUCGUGUUGCGGAAGAUCGCUGUCUUGGGUCGCCGCUGGUGCUUUCCUUGGUUCAAAUUCCUGCUUUGUUUGUGUUGAGUUUGCCCCUUCAAGCUUUUAGUCAGCCAGAUAAAUAGUUUGUCCUUCCUAAGUGAGUAGAGUGUUAGUGAGUUCUGUUAAAUACUCGGUCCUUGUUGUGUGAGUAGAGUGCAACCGAGUUCUGUUAAUUUCGGUGUACGGAAAUUAUUGUUUCCAUUCUAUGUACAGCUUGCUUUUUUCACCAUUAAUUAACUACUCUAGAGUUCCACUCCUCCAUCUGAUAACAAGAAAAAGGUUGAUACUUAUAUUUAUUAGGCAUGGUUCUCAUUCUUCGAACUGGUUUUAUAUUUGAGUUACACUAACAUGAUUGAAUUUCGUCCGAUUUAAUCUGUUGCAUUGUUAGGUGGACUGGAUUUUAUUUGAGGCAGACUAGCACGACUGAAUUUAUUCCAGUUUAAUCUGCUGCAUAGUUAAGUGGAGUGAAUUUAUUUCAGUUUAAUCUACCAUGAGCUAUGUAUUGAAUGGUCAGAAUUGUUUGAGGUACAUUGUAAUCAACGGUUUUCAUUGUUUCAGGUUGUGGGCUGAUGCAGGUUGUUGUUUGUUGCGACUGUUCCUCUGACAGGUAGUUGCCUUUCUUCGUCUUACACCACUGCGUGUCUACCCUUCCUCAUUCUGUUCAUUCACACAUUUGUAUGCUCUCUUUCUAAUCAACUGGACCUAGGUUUGUUUUCACGGAUUUGAUCUUCAUGUGUUAGUUCAUCUACAUGAAGAGUUACUUUGUUCAGUCCAAAUAUCCUCUCGCAUUUUGUAUAGCGAUGGCAAGACUAUUAUUGUCUCAUUUGUGCCAAGAGUGUCUUUCUCCAGGAAUCACCGCUUUGAAUUGGGUCUGAACGUGUGCUUCAGUCGGCAUCUUCUGUUCAGUCUGAAGAGGUGAUUUUUUUUUGUACAUUAAACAACCGCGCUGACAUGAUACAAUUUCAGUGCAAUACAAUGUUCAUGGUAAAUGAUAUUAAGUCCAGCAAGAGCCAUGAAACAAGAUGACAAAUCUAGAAGCUUUUUAGACCAGAUUCGGAAACACAUGUAGGAAAUCCUAAUUUUCCUCGCAAAUACUAUGUCCUAAAUAGCUAGGCAUGAAACCAUAUAGAUAAUUAUCUGAAUAUAUGCAGCCAUGUUUUUGUUUUUUAUAUAUUGGUAGGGUUAAAUAACCUAAUCUCAUUUCCUGUCGCCUAUGCAGUCCUGGCCUAAUCUAAAACAUGCUACUAUGUAUUAAUGUUAUCCCUCUCCUCUGGCUCAAAUUUAAAACUUUUUUUCUUUCGUCAUAACUGUUUAGGAUUGAGAUAUAAACCUGGCAGUAUUCUGCCUAUAGUUAGUGUAUUGCGUAAGGUAAGGGUGCUAAUUUGUUUCUUAUGGAUUACUUCUCUUCAAUAUAUGUCUUGGCUUCGCAUGACAUGCAACACGCCUUAUGACGAAAAACGCCUGGUCAAGUGUUGGCACACAGGCAAGCAGAACACUCCCAAGGCGAUGCAAAAAGGGAUGGCAACCGCGACGAUGUUGGUGCCCUGGAUGAUUUGAAAACAUCGCAACACCUGUCUUCGAAGGAGCGUCACCCUCCAUUCGGGACCUGUGUGCCAGGAUCAAAGAAGAGGCAAGGUCAUGGACCACGGCAGGAGCAAACAGGCUCAGAGAUGUCUUGCCUACAACCUGGGAUGUCACUAAUUUCAGAUUCCGUAAUAACGCUGUGUAAACCUUUUAGGGGGCGUGUAACAACUUACAUCUAUUCAAUGAAAUGAAACGCAAAGAUUCCUUUGUGUUCUCUCCAAAAAAAUAUUAUGUAGGUGUGCCCGUAGCCGAUGAUCCAAAUCAUCCAACUUCCCCAUCCACCAUGUCUCCAACACAUAAGAGGCGCAGGCCAUUGGUGCAAAAGGCUCAGAUGGAGCCACCAUCCAAGAAGAGAAACUAAAUCAGCAGCAAGUGAUGUAUCUGAAAUGCAUUGCGUGUGUUCUUCUAUAGUCUUGCAGGCUAUGUUCAUUACCAUGUGUUUGUUUUCACCUCGGGUUAGUCCUUGACUAAUCUCUGCUUUGCUUUUUCACCAGUGUUGUCUUUUGGUGACACAUUUCGUGGGUAGCUGUGUUUGUGUCCUACUAUCUUUGUUCCCUAGGAUCUGACGAUCAUGGACCUCUCUUUUGUAGAUGCCAUGUAAAUAUGCGCUUAGUACCUGGUGCAACCAUUCUGCCUUGUGUGGAUAUUACUUCUACUGCUCUGUAAUGUUGCGUGUGAGGUGUAUAUACUUUGGUUUUAGUCUCGUGUGCUUUAUCCUAA